GUGUGCGUGUGCAAUGCUUGUGUAAGCCUGUGUAAUGCAUAUGUGCAUGUGUAAGGUGCACGCAUGCAUGUGUAAUAUGUGUGUGCGUGUGAUGUGUGUGCACGUGGGUGUAAAUUGUGUGCAUGCGUGUGCGCCUAUUGCUUGUAUUAUUAGCUGGAACUUUUCCAUUGCAAGGGACAAGCCACACUUGCUUAAUCAGAAAGAGAAAUUAUGGGGUCACAAUUGAAUGUCCAGGAAAAAACCUACUUUAAGCGAUGGGCAGAACCUAGACCCAGAAAUGUCUUUCACGGCUUAGCCCGGAUUAGACCAAUUUGGGUCACUAUCCCAUCUUUGAGCCAAUCACGUAGCUCAACAGAGUGGACAGGCUUAGGUCACAUGACCACACCCCGCCCAGGGGAGGCCAGUCCUGCCUGCACCACAGGGGCACAGGUUAACCCAAGAAAGAAGGUGCUGUCCUCAGAAUAGAUGCUAAGCAGGGCCACGGGGCAGCCUGUCCUCCAGAAUGCCCGGACACUCACUCUGCGCGUUUUAUUUACUGGAUGUUUACCCAAUACAUCCCAUAAGACUCCCAAGAACUGGUAAAACGAAGACGCUAAGUUUGGCAUACGCAUUUCAAGUACUUUUUAAGUUUGUUUGCUGUCAACAGCAAUUACCCUCUUUUACGCAAGGAAGUUUUAAGUCUUUAUGUGGUCAGAUACUUAACAGUCUUCUGUUAUGGCCUGUGGCUUUACUGUUAGGCUUAGGAAAACAUUCUCUGCCCUAAGAGUUUCCGUUUGCCAACAUUUUUAAUUAAUGCUUUUUCUUUUAUUUCUCCAUGACAAUAUUUUAACCAUCUGGAAUUGAUGCUGGUUCGGAGUGUGAAAACUGUUUUUCCCACAUGUAAUAGUUGGUUAUUCCGACAGAAUUCAUUGAAUACUCCGUGCUUUUCUCCAUGGGUUGGAAAUGCCUUUAUUACCAUUUGCUGAAUUAUUUUAUGCGUGUGUUUUGAUGGUCUUCCCCGCGUGUUCCUCUCUGCACUGACCUUUUCUGUGAGCCCUAAUCUAAAAACCAAAUAAAUACACUUGGAGGUACCGAUUACCUAUUUUAUGACUGCAAUAGGGAUUAAGACACUCGUGAGGAGUUGUAGAGUGGUGGUUAUGACAGGGUGGUUAGGUGUGGCCCCACACCUGGCACGUCUUCAAAAGGGAGGAAGGGGAAGUUCCUGAUCUUUCACUUUCCCCCUCUCUCCUACCUUCCCUCUCUGCCGGUGAAUGCCUGGCUGUUGCAGAUGGCCCGGGGUUUUUUAAAGCACAUGAGAACAUAACCCCAAGAAGCAGAGGUCGUUACGCACAAGGGUCAGGUAAAACGAGUGCUUAAAAAAAGGCAAAGCCAACAAACCCGACUUCCUGGCCACGCACUCUCCCCUCCCCGGUAAAAAGAAAACACACGUCAUUCCGAGAGCUGAAUUAAUUCACGCAGCGCAAGCAGAUUCUCUGCAGCCAGACCGAACCGUUACAACAGGGACUCCCUGAAAUAAACAGAACUCAUGACAAGUCUGUCCCAGAGGAGAGUCCAAAGAUUGACAGGAUGGCCUGACUGUAACGUUGCUAACGCCUCCCACCACGGUCUGGUGCACAGAGACCAGCAGGGCCUGCCGUGGUCCCCAGGAUGGAACCGGGGAGCAGAAAAGCAGAAGCAUGGGCCGCAAGCGCUGACACCGAGCCGUCGCACCUUGCGGACUACGGUUGACUGGUGACGACGGACGGCACAGAACAUCCGUGACGGCUAGCUGUGAACCGGCGUUUUGAGGAAGCCGAAACUGUGAGUAAACAGGUACGACUGUCUGGAAGCAAGGGGUGAGCCACGCAGAGAUGAAAUGAGCCGCAGAAAUAUUAUGAAAAGGUCAGAGGUUCGGCCGCCCCUGAAAUGUGCUCAGUCUCUGAUGGCUUCUGAAUUCACUCCAUCAGAUCGCACCUCCUCCCAGGGGACAGGGCAGUGCUGGAGCAGGGAAGGGUCCCGUGUCUGACAGCCAGUGGUGCACCCCAGUCCGCACCCCCAGCGCCCUUGCAGUUAAGGCUCGCUUUCCCACAGGGCCCUUGAGGCGAAGAGGCUGUGACAAAGCUGUACUCUGUAAAAUGACAGACGCCAUACUUAUACCCCAGACGCCAGCUGUGCGACUCAGGUCAUUUACUCAUUUAUUUUCGGUUCAAAGGAGAGACUCACACAGUCACUUCCAGGAACAGGCAUGUAUUAUGAGUCUACUCCACACAGUGAAUCAUGACGGGUGAGUCUUGGCUACAAGUAACAGAACACCCAGCACGUGGCCUAAACAGUGUACGAUUUGUGAUCUUUCACUACCUAACUUCUCCCUGAUUCUCUACCGUGCUGUCCACAUCCCCAGCUGGCUCGUCUCGGGAGUGUGAGACAGCUGCCAGCAGCAAUGAGGGCCUCAGGCUUCCUAAUCCAUAUCCCCCUUGGAAGAGUGUCUCUCUUGCAGGCCUGGUACAAGAGUCCUUUCUUUCAGCCUGACUGGGCCAAUUUACGUCAUUUGUCCUCUGCUGGGCCGUGGGGGAACGUCGCGUCUCAACGGGGUAGAGUCUGGGUUUCAGAAGAGGCAUGACAGACUAGCAUUGGUUUUGACUAGUCGGAUCCAGAAACAAAGAUGAAGUUAGCUUCUCCUGAGCGACACGGUUAGCUGGUGGGGAGCGGGCUGGGGGAGGACAAAUGGAGAACAGACAGCCAAGCGGAACCAGGAUUCUGUUUGCAGGACAGGCGGGUGGGCGUGUUGGACAGGCAGUAACCGGUCGUGCCCGCUGCACAUCCGUAUAGGGCGGCACUGACCGACAGAACUUUCUGCAGUGGUGGGGUAAUCCACACCAUUCUGCUCACCACGGAAGCAUCAAACACACGAGGCCGUUGGGCGCUUGAAGUGUGGCGGCUGUGAUCGGAGAAGCUGCCAGAACCUCCUAAGGUUUAGGCCCAGACCCGGCCCAGGGACGCUCCGCCGUUCUCUUCACCGAAGCAACUCAUGGGGCCGGGGCUGCGCGUGAAAAAUCACUGCAAACAAACCGGAACACUUCUUCCAGUUGGACUGUUUUGCAACCUCAAGAUGUCAGACUGCAGUGCAGACCAGACCUCCCCAGGACCAGGAAGUGCCACACUUCCUCAGUGUACAUCCUGAACUCCAACUCCUGCCCCCACUUUGUUCACUUAGCUUUACACUUCUCAGUGGAGAUCAUCCAGUUGGGUUAGUCUGCUGUCAUCCAAAAUGGCACAUCUGUAUCGGGCGGAGUUUCACAAGAACUCAUCUCAUGAACCGCGUCGAAUGGCUUAAUUUUUAUCCCAUGUUUACCCUGCACUUUGCCCGAGAGUGGCGAUUGUAUCAGUCUCUUGAACAAAUACUUGAAGGUUCUGUCUCACGUACCAGCCAGAGGACGGAAGAAGCACUGCACUGUACUAGGAAUUAGGUAAAAGCCUCGUAUGUAAGACUGAGCUCCACCGGGGCGUCUGGAGGGCUCAGCUGGUUGGGCACCCGACUCUUGAUUUCAGCUCAGGUCAUGAUCUCAUGGUUCGUGGGCUCAAGCCCCGUG